UUGAAGGAUUAUAUCGAAGAGUCAAAUGAUAGAGUAACGUCUUGAAGGGCUCUCUCUUAGUCGAAUAGCACUGAAGUUAGUAAGAAUAACAGUGUUAUAAGCUCGGCAAGAAGGUGUAAGAAUUUACCGUAACAGUGAUUUUUAGCUGUCGAAAGUCUACCCGCGGGGGUGGUGUAAAUCAUGAUGCUGAGUUGAUUGA
rfam:Bacillus okhensis strain Kh10-101 contig36, whole genome shotgun sequence.